rnacentral:rRNA from 1 species
AGAGUUUGAUCCUGGCUCAGAACGAACGCUGGCGGCGUGGAUAAGACAUGCAAGUCGAACGAUUAUCAUCGGGUAGCAAUAUUCGAUGGUGAGAGUGGCGCAAGGGUGCGUAACACGUGGGUAAUUUGCCGUGAAGUCUGGAAUAACUUGCUGAAAGGCGAGCUAAUACCGGAUGUGAUUGCUGGAGGGCAUCCUCUGGCACUUAAAGUCGGGGACCGCAAGGCCUGACACUUUUCGAUAAGCCCGCGGCCUAUCAGCUAGUUGGUGAGGUAACGGCUCACCAAGGCUAAGACGGGUAGCUGGUCUGAGAGGACGACCAGCCUCACUGGAACUGAGACACGGUCCAGACACCUACGGGUGGCAGCAGUCGAGAAUUUUUCUCAAUGGGGGAAACCCUGAAGGAGCGACGCCGCGUGGGGGAUGAAUGGCUUCGGCCCGUAAACCCCUGUCAUUUGCGAUCAAACCUUACGACCUAACACGUCGUAAGCUGAUAGUAGCGGAAGAGGAAGGGACGGCUAACUCUGUGCCAGCAGCCGCGGUAAUACAGAGGUCCCAAGCGUUGUUCGGAUUCACUGGGCGUAAAGGGUGCGUAGGCGGUCGGGUAAGUCUGACGUGAAAUCUUCAAGCUCAACUUGGAAACUGCGUCCGAUACUAUUCGGCUAGAGGAAUGGAGGGGAGACUGGAAUACUUGGUGUAGCAGUGAAAUGCGUAGAUAUCAAGUGGAACACCAGUGGCGAAGGCGAGUCUCUGGACAUUUCCUGACGCUGAGGCACGAAAGCCAGGGGAGCAAACGGGAUUAGAUACCCCCGUAGUCC